rnacentral:rRNA from 1 species
UACGGGGGGCGCAAGCGUUGUUCGGAUUUACUGGGCGUAAAGGGCGCGUAGGCGGCGUGACAAGUCACUUGUGAAAUCUCCGGGCUUAACUCGGAACGGUCAAGUGAUACUGUCGUGCUAGAGUACAGAAGGGGCAACUGGAAUUCUCGGUGUAGCGGUGAAAUGCGUAGAUAUCGAGAGGAACACCUGCGGCGAAGGCGGGUUGCUGGGCUGAUACUGACGCUGAGGCGCGAAAGCCAGGGGAGCAAACGGG